CNUGCAAGUCGACGCCCCUUCGGGGGAGUGGCGGACGGGUGAGUAACGCGUGGGAACGUGCCCUUUGGUACGGAACAACUGAGGGAAACUUCAGCUAAUACCGUAUGUGCCCUUCGGGGGAAAGAUUUAUCGCCAUUGGAGCGGCCCGCGUUGGAUUAGCUAGUUGGUGGGGUAAAGGCCCACCAAGGCGACGAUCCAUAGCUGGUCUGAGAGGAUGACCAGCCACACUGGGACUGAGACACGGCCCAGACUCCUACGGGAGGCAGCAGUAGGGAAUCUUGGGCAAUGGGCGAAAGCCUGACCCAGCCAUGCCGCGUGAAUGAUGAAGGUCUUAGGAUUGUAAAAUUCUUUCACCGGGGACGAUAAUGACGGUACCCGGAGAAGAAGCCCCGGCUAACUUCGUGCCAGCAGCCGCGGUAAUACGAAGGGGGCUAGCGUUGCUCGGAAUUACUGGGCGUAAAGGGCGCGUAGGCGGAUCGUUAAGUCAGAGGUGAAAGCCCAGGGCUCAACCUUGGAACUGCCUUUGAUACUGGCGAUCUGGAGUACGGGAGAGGUGUGUGGAACUCCGAGUGUAGAGGUGAAAUUCGUAGAUAUUCGGAAGAACACCAGUGGCGAAGGCGACACACUGGCCCGUUACUGACGCUGAGGCGCGAAAGCGUGGGGAGCAAACAGGAUUAGAUACCCUGNUAGUCCACGCCGUAAACGAUGAGUGCUAGUUGUCGGCAUGCUUGCAUGUCGGUGAUGCAGCUAACGCAUUAAGCACUCCGCCUGGGGAGUACGGUCGCAAGAUUAAAACUCAAAGGAAUUGANGGGGGCCCGCACAAGCNGGUGGAGCAUGUGGUUUNAUUUCGAAGCAACGC
rnacentral:rRNA from 1 species